rnacentral:rRNA from 1 species
UACGUAGGGUGCGAGCGUUGUCCGGAAUUAUUGGGCGUAAAGAGCUCGUAGGCGGUUUGUUGCGUCGGCCGUGAAAACCUGCAGCUUAACUGUGGGCCUGCGGCCGAUACGGGCAGGCUUGAGUUCGGUAGGGGAGACUGGAAUUCCUGGUGUAGCGGUGAAAUGCGCAGAUAUCAGGAGGAACACCGGUGGCGAAGGCGGGUCUCUGGGCCGAUACUGACGCUGAGGAGCGAAAGCGUGGGGAGCGAACAGG